CCUUGUACAAUGCACUGCCUGCUGAUGGAUGUCUUACCAGACAUGGUUAGAUCUGGAUGUAUCUGUCUAAUACUGUCUGGUAAUGCCGUCCAUCCAUGGCCUUAUCGCCGCCGGAGACG
rnacentral:pre_miRNA from 14 species